CGAAUACCGCAGUGGACUUCCAAAGGAUACAAUACCCAAUUUUCUUCAUAACAAAAUAGUUGGUGAAGUAUCCCGCAAAGGGGGGAAAAGGCUGCCGCGAGCAAUCUCCGCGUUAGGGAAGAAAAGCUCCUCAGUUUGUAAACCUCUUUUUUUCAGGAAAAAACACCAUAUUGACGGUACCUGAGGGAACCAGUAUUGGAUAAAUUUCUCACAGCAGGCCCGGUAAUUCGGCGGACGCCAGCGCUAUCCGGAAUGAUGGGGCGUAAAGCCUCCGCAGGGGGCUGUGUAAUUCUCCUGUCAAAGAGCAAAGCUCAACUUUAUAAAGGCAGUGGAAACUACACCUCUAGAGUGCGUUCGGGGCAGAGGGAAUUCCUGGUGUAGCGGUGAAAUGCGUAGAAAUCAGGAAGAAAUCCGGAGGCGAAGGCGCUCUGCUUGGCCGCACCUGACACUGAGGGACGAAAGCUAGGGGAGCGAAUGGGAUUAGAUACCCCCGUAGUUCUAGCUGUAAACGAAGGAUACUAGGCGUGGCUUGUAUCGACCCGACCCGUGCCGUAGCUAACGCGUUAAGUAUCCCGCCUGGGGAGUACGCACGCAAGUGUGAAACUCAAAGGAAUUGACGGGGGCCCGCACAAGCGGUGGAGUAUGUGGUUUAAUUCGAUGCAACGCGAAGAACCUUACCAAGGCUUGACAUGUCGCGAACUUUUCUUAAAGGAAGAGGGCCUUCGGGAGCGCGAACACAGGGGGGGCAUGGCAGUCGACAGC
rnacentral:rRNA from 1 species